rnacentral:rRNA from 1 species
CAGCUGUAAACGAUGCAGACUAGGUGUUUGGACGGCCACGUGCCGUUCUAGUGCCGCAGGGAAGCUGUUAAGUCUGCCGCCUGGGGAGUACGAUCGCAAGAUUGAAACUUAAAGGAAUUGGCGGGGGAGCACCACAAGGGGUGAAGCUUGCGGUUUAAUUGGAGUCAACGCCGGAAAUCUCACCGGGAGCGACAGCAGAAUGAUGGCCAGGUUGAUGACCUUGCUUGACAAGCUGAGAGGAGGUGCAUGGCGUCAGUGACU